CAGGAGUCAUUUUCGCCAAUCUGCUAUAUUUUGGUCGCCAGACCCAAAAGGCUACAAGAGAUUGAGAUUGCUGGUGAGCUCUGUCAUUUAGCUUUCUCACAGAUCAGUGCUUGUGCCAAUUUUGGAGAACCGAGAUCCCGAUAUGCUAUUUCUGCCUUUCUGGAAUGUCGUUUCAUGUUGCUUCUACUGCAGGAAACCACUCUGAGACAUUCCAGACAGCAGAAUUUGG
rnacentral:misc_RNA from 1 species